GCAGUCGUGGAACCUCAGGUGCCUCUGCGGCACCGAGCCUAGCUCUGAGCUAACGCAGAUCUCUAAGAGCGAGUACCAGCCGCCGGGAGAAAGGCAAGGGGAGUGCGCGGCUCGCCGCGCGCGGCACUCCCUCAGCAGAGGCUGAUUGGGAGGACGCUGACGCGGCCUCUUGCACCUGUGGCUACUCCUCCACAGACCUGGCUGCCGACCUCCUGUCUGCCCCUUCUGUGCCCAUGUCACCCUGGCCAAAUGUUUUAAAUGUUUUACAGCUUUGCAAAGGGAAGAAUUGAUUUACCGAACAGCUCAUUCUCCACAUUAAAAUUCUACUCAAGACACAAUUUUUUUUCUUUUUUUGAGACGGAGUCUUGCUCUGUCGCCCAGGCUGGAGUGCAGUAGUAGGAUCUCGGCUCACCGCAACCUCUGCCUCCCGGGUUCAAGCGAUUCUCCUGCCUCAGCCUCCCGAGUAGCUGGGACUACAGGCGUGUGCCACCACGCCCGGCUAAUUUUUGUAUUUUUAGUAGAGACGGGGUUUCACUAUGUUGGCCAGGCUGGUCUCGAAUUCCUGACCUCAUGAUCCGCCCGCCUCAGCUUCCCAAAGUGCUGGGAUUCCAGGCGUGAGCGACAGCGCCUGGCCUCAAGACACAGUUUUUAAAAAGAUAUAAUAAAAGCCCGAUUUCUUGACAUCAAUAAUUAAUAUCUCAACCUGGAUUAGUGAUUACUUAUAAGGUGCCUCCCUCUCCGCUAGGAGACCCCACUUCGCAUCAGAUUUCUGUGCAGUGCUUCUUACCGACCUACACCGGAAAGGGGCUUCUGUAUUAUUAAGAGCUACUCAGGAAAUACCUAGAGGACUGAAAUCCAGGACCGGGGAGGCCGCAGGUAACCCCGAAUAGAACUCCCGCCUACGGAGGACAUUUUCAAAUUCACCUAAUUAUUCCAGGGCUAGUUCGUAGGAGGAUGGGCUGGGGGCAUGACAGAGUUUCCUCCAGGAGUUAUCUUCCCCACACCCCCCAUAACUCUGAGUUCUCUUUUCCGCAGCUUGCCCCUGGCACCAAAAGAGUUGCUUGCAGCUCUGCCCCCCUGUGACACAGCCGCCCUCCGCCCCUGACCCCGCCCAUCACCAAGACCUGAGACUGCUGCCUGUUAGUGACUAGCAAAUUAGCCCCCAUCACCAAGACCUGAGGCUGCUGCUGCUGCCUGUUAGUGACUAGCAAAUCAGCCCCCAUCACCAAGACCUGAGGCUGCUGCCUGUUAGUGACUAGCAAAUCAGCCCUCCAUCUAUUUGCCCCACUGCUACUGUCUUAAAUUAGGCCUCCCCUAUAUCCAGCCUGAGUUAUCAUUAAGCCCGUUCACUGGACAUCCUCCCAGCUGUGCAGCCGCUCUCCACAUCCCCGCCACACACCCCAUUCUUGCACCUGCUGUCAGAGCGGUAUUUCUGAAACAGAAAUCUGAUCUUGUUACUUGACUACUUAAAAUGUGAAUGGUUCCCUUCAGCUUUUUUUCUAGGGAAUUUUCAAUCUGGGGUUCAUACAUAGAACUGAAUUUCAAUAUAAUUUCAAAUUCUGCCAAUAACAGGAAUGAGCUUGGAAGAAGAUCUCAAGCUUCAUAUGAGAAAAUAGGGCCACAUCUGAAGUUAGCCAUUGCUCUGAGUUCUGGUUCUUAUUAGAGGGAAAUGGUAUUUAGAUAUAACGAUCUGGCUCUAGGAGUGCUCACUGCUGUGAGUUUGACCUUAUUUCUAGUAAAAGACUUUUUUUA
rnacentral:lncRNA from 1 species